UUUAUAUGAGAGUUUGAUCCUGGCUCAGGAUGAACGCUGGCGGCGUGCCUAAUACAUGCAAGUCGAACGAGUUCUGAUUAUUGAAAGGUGCUUGCAUCUUGAUUUAAUUUUGAACGAGUGGCGGACGGGUGAGUAACACGUGGGUAACCUGCCCUUAAGUGGGGGAUAACAUUUGGAAACAGAUGCUAAUACCGCAUAAAUCCAAGAACCGCAUGGUUCUUGGCUUAAAGAUGGCGU
rnacentral:rRNA from 1 species